UGGCUGGCUUUCUGUCCUUCUGCCUUAGGAACAGGGCCUGGGGAGCUCACCCGGAGCAAAGGAAAUCCCCACUCAACUUGGCUUUCAUAAUCUGCCUGCAGAUCGUGCCUGGUUAACCUGGUCCGUGAGCCACGGAGCUAAUUCAGAGAAUCGCUCAGGCAGCAGCAGCAGGAGCUGCGUGCUCAGCGCAGUGGGUCGUCAGCCAUCACGACGCUAACCAGGAGAGGCAGCGCGGGCCCCGCUUGUUACAGAGGUUGAGGGAGGACGGAGCCGCUCACUGCUGCUGUGGACUCGGCCGCUCCGGGGUGUGGCCCAGGAGCCAGCUCCCUGGGUCUGUGGCCGAACCCACCCGACUUGCGCAGGGAGCAGCGCAGGAGGUUACAGGGCACCUGGUGCUACUGCGGAGACAGGCACACCUAGGUUCAAAUCCCAGCUCUCCCUUCACCUGCUGGGAGUCCCUGGGCAGGUUCCUUGACCUCUCUGAGCCUCAUCUUGCUCAUCUGUAAAAUGGACACAGGAGCUCCGCUAAUAAACUCCUUAUUUUACAGGGUUCUCGGAAGGGUUUAAAAGAGUGGUACAGCUAUAGCAAGAGCUCCCUACACCUAUUAUUAUGAUUAAAGGAUUAUGUGUAAGACUCCUGGCUGCAAAGUGGUCCAGCUGGGGUGUUUCAGAUUCCCCCGGACUUGAUUUUCCCACCUAGAUAGAUAACACAGAGACUCUCUGCAGGAUUAUUAUCGAACCAGCCCAUCCUUCAGAGGGCUCACAGGCAGGAAACAAAGAGAACUAAUGGAGGAAACCAAGCAGGAGGGAAAGGACGAUCGAUCGACGGGCUGCCUGACAUGGAAGGAAGGUGCUGGCUCUGUGCAUUUUGCAUUGAGAGGAGAAAAUGUGCCUGAUUUUGCUGACUCGGAGCUGCCGGACGAGGGUGGCUUCCUACAGUCAGAGAGGACU